GGAGGGGGUUAGCGUUGUUCGGAAUUACUGGGCGUAAAGCGCGCGUAGGCGAUUAGAAAGUUGGGGGUGAAAUCCCGGGGCUCAACCUCGGAACUGCCUCCAAAACUGCUAGUCUAGAGUUCGAGAGAGGUGAGUGGAAUUCCGAGUGUAGAGGUGAAAUUCGUAGAUAUUCGGAGGAACACCAGUGGCGAAGGCGGCUCACUGGCUCGAUACUGACGCUGAGGUGCGAAAGUGUGGGGAGCAAACAGGAUUAGAUACCCUGGUAGUCCACACCGUAAACGAUGAAUGCCAGUCGUCGGGUAGUAUACUAUUCGGUGACACACCUAACGGAUUAAGCAUUCCGCCUGGAGUACGGUCGCAAGAUAAAACUCAAAGGAUUGACGGGGCCCGCACAAGGCGUGGAGCAUGUGGUUAAUUCGAAGCAACGCGCAGAACCUUACCAACCCUUGACAUCCUGUGCUACAUCCAGAGAUGGAUGGUUCCCUUCGGGACCGCAGUGACAGGU
rnacentral:rRNA from 1 species